rnacentral:rRNA from 1 species
UACGAAGGUCCCGAGCGUUGUUCGGAAUCACUGGGCGUAAAGGGAGCGUAGGCGGCGUGGUAAGUCAGAUGUGAAAUCCCGGGGCUCAACCCCGGAACUGCAUCCGAUACUGCCAUGCUAGAGGAUUGGAGAGGUAGCUGGAAUUCUUGGUGUAGCGGUGAAAUGCGUAGAUAUCAGGAGGAACACCAAUGGCGAAGGCAGCACUCUGGGACGUGACUGACGCUGAGACGCGAAAGCGUGGGGAGCAAACAGG